UGAGGUCUAUUUUUGCCACUGAAAACCCCUUUCCCAUCCUGUUGCCUGCCCUUUGGCUUCAGCAGUUUUUUGCCUUUUGUGCAGACAGGCUGCAUCCGGUUACCACCGGGUUUGUUUCCAGAGGUGGAGGAUCCACAGCGAUGCCUUCAUGUCAUUUAGUGUCGUGAGUGUGAGGACAGGACCUCCUCCCAUUCACCCUGGGUCCUCCUGUUCCUGCUCUGGAUUCACAUCUCAGAGAAAGAGGGAGGAAGGCGUUCGGAGGGGAAGCAGGAGAGCAGGGCAGCCUGGGAUGAUUCCUGUUCCUGAAAGGGAAAAGUCCCUGGCUUUCCAGGUUGGCAUUUGCUGGUGGCUCCAGCUCUUUCAUGGCGGUAUGCCUUGGAGUUUGCCUCUGAACAGGAGGGUCGCUGUGGGCUGGGCUCCCUCGCAGUGCGGGCAGGCGUCUUUCCUUCAUCUGUCUCCCUGCUUGUCCCCACGUGCCUUGCCAUCACUGAUAAAUGAACUGUGGUCCAGCUGAUAACCACUUUGUGUGUCGUUCUUUCUUGUCUUUGCAGCAAGCAUGCUCACAGAAAUCCUGGGACUGCCACAUCGAGCCUUCUGCGUUCAGGCUGACAAACGUCCCUGGGUUGGAGGAGCUGACUGGCUGGCGCUGCCUUGUGACCAUGUGCCAUGCUGCCAUACCCAAGGGGGCACAGGCGAGGCAGCCAGGUGCACAAGAGUUGUGAUGCCAUGUCAGACACUAAAAACGCAACCAUUUCCCAACCAUGAGACUUCCUGGCAACUUGUCCAGCUCACCUUGGCCUGGAUCUUCUCCUCACAGAGGAGAUCAUGUAGAGAGAAAGAACAUCUAAAUAAAUGCAAGCCCAUUAGCCAACCAACUGACCGAUGGGCCCGGCUUUCCAAACAACCAUGGGCAACAAUAAGAUUAGAAAACAAAAUAUUGUUAGAUCAAAUGAGCUCAGAAAGAAC
rnacentral:lncRNA from 1 species